rnacentral:rRNA from 1 species
UUGAUCCUGGCUCAGAACGAACGCUGGCGGCAGGCUUAACACAUGCAAGUCGAGCGCCCCGCAAGGGGAGCGGCAGACGGGUGAGUAACGCGUGGGAAUCUACCCUUUUCUACGGAAUAACGCAUGGAAACGUGUGCUAAUACCGUAUGAGCCCUUCGGGGGAAAGAUUUAUCGGGAAAGGAUGAGCCCGCGUUGGAUUAGCUAGUUGGUGGGGUAAAGGCCUACCAAGGCGACGAUCCAUAGCUGGUCUGAGAGGAUGAUCAGCCACAUUGGGACUGAGACACGGCCCAAACUCCUACGGGAGGCAGCAGUGGGGAAUAUUGGACAAUGGGCGCAAGCCUGAUCCAGCCAUGCCGCGUGA